UAGGGAAUCUUCCGCAAUGGGCGAAAGCUUGACGGAGCAACGCCGCGUGAGUGAUGAAGGUCUUCGGAUCGUAAAACUCUGUUAUAAGGGAAGAACAAAUGUGUAAGUAACUAUGCACGUCUUGACGGUACCUAAUCAGAAAGCCACGGCUAACUACGUGCCAGCAGCCGCGGUAAUACGUAGGUGGCAAGCGAUAUCCGGAAUUAUUGGGAGUAAAGCGCGCGUAGGCGGUUUUGUAAGUCUGAUGUGAAAGCCAACGGCUCAACCGUAGACGGUCAUUGGAAACUGGAGAACUCGGGUGCAGAAGAGGAAGGUAGCAUUCCAUGUGUAGCGGUGAAAUGCGCAGAGAAAUGGAGGAACACCAGUGGCGAAGGCCACAUUCUAGUCUAUAACUGACGCUGAUGUGCGAAAGCCGGGGGAUCAAACUGG
rnacentral:rRNA from 1 species